UAUAUGCUGAAGAUAAACAUGAUGAACAACCCAAGUCAUUAUCUCAAUAACAGAAACCAUCUCUUAUCACUUAACUGAUUGUAUUUAUCCUUAUCACUUAGCUGUUAUAUGUAUUUAUCCAUUAUAUUUUGAUCUUAUCAGGUUGUUAAGUUGUAUAAUCUGAUCUGUGUAUGAUAUACUCUAUUUAAAUCACAAUAGAAUACAAGGUUUGGCAUCUUGCAAACCAUUAUUUUCUGCUCUUUGUUUCAUGGUAUCAGAGCAGCAAAAGGCCUACGCCUACAUCUGAUCCUUUUUUUUUCUUCUCAUGGCUACCUCAAAUCCAAUUGUUCCCCAUCCUUCCGCCCUCACUAAUCUUUCUCUUCCUCAUCUACCACAACCCAUCACCCUGAAACUCGAUGAUAACAAUUAUCUCAUGUGGUUAUCUCUCUUUUUACCUGUUCUGAGGAGUCAUAAUCUGUUAGGUAUCGUUGAUGGUACUGAACUGUGCCCACAAAAAUUUAUGCCUCCUCUCGAAGGAGAGCCAUCACUUAAUCCUGCUUAUACCAUCUGGAUUAAGAAAGAUUAGUUUUUAUUAAGUUGGAUUAAUGCCACCCUCUCUGAAAGUGUUUUGUCCACUAUCUAUGGACUCAACACAUCCAAGGAUGUUUGGCAUGCUUUGGAAACACAUUUUGCUUCCAACUCUCGGUCUCAUGUCACUCAUCUGCGCAGGCAGCUAAACACCAUGCACCAAGGUUCCCAAUCCUGCCUUGCAUAUCUUAAUCAGGCCAAAUCUUGGUCAGACCAAUUAGUUGUUGUUGGAAAGCCACUCACUGAUGGAGAUCUUAUCUCAUUUCUUGUUAGUGGUCUUAACCCCUCCUUUAACUCCUUUGUCACCUUCUUUUCCUUUGCCACUCGUGAGACUUCUCUCUCUUUUAAUGCCUUUCGAGAUGAAUUGUUGAAUCAUGAACGUUUAUUGAACCAAUAACAAUCAUUAAGUGCAGAUCCCUCCACUUUUGCUCUUUACAGUAAAAAGCCUUUCCACCCUUCCAAAUCUAAUCAAUCAUUCAACAAACAGAAACCACCCUCAAACUGUCGUGGCUCAUCCUAUCCCAAGAAUACCCCCUCCUCCCCUUUCACUUCCCCUGUCUCUACUUCCACUACCUCACAUACAAAUCUUCCCACCUUUUCUUCCAGAAAUCGUGUACCCUAUCAAAUCUAUGGCAAAACUAGUCACUAGGCCUUGGACUGCUACCAUAGGAUGGAUUAUUCAUAUCAAGGCAGGCAUCCACCUACUCAACUUGCAGCAAUGGUAGCACACACUAAUGAGGCCUUUGAAGGACAACAAUGGAUAGUAGUGGAUAGUGGUGCUAAUGCUCAUAUUACUAAUGAGCUUGCAAAUCUACAGAUUCAGCAACCCUUUGAGAACAACACCAUGGUGGCUGUAGGGAAUGGAGUAGGUCUUGCUAUUGAGAACCCUGGACCUUUGGACGAAGGCAACUCUGCUUGAAGGCAAACCUGAGAAUGGUCUUUAUCCUAUCAGGCUACAAGGAAAGUCUCUCAAGAAUAACAAAUCAUUUAGUGCUUUGAUUGGCAUCAAAACUUCCUCUCUAGUUUGGCAUUCUAGAUUAGGACACCCGGCUUUGGAUAUUGUAUCUCGGGUUGUUAAACAUAACAGUCUUCCUGUUUCUCAAUUCAAUUUCAAUAAAAAUAAUGUUUGUGUUUCUUGUCAAUUGGGUAAGAGCAUUCGAUUACCAUUUUCUUCUUCUACCCGUA